AGCGACCGGUGAGGAUUCUGGCUCGUGAGUCGAGAGAAUUGCGCAACCGGAUCAUACCUUUUGUAAAGGUGCAGUGAAGUAAUCACAAGAAGCGGGAGGCGACUUGGGAGCCGGAGACGGUGAUGAGAGAAUCCUACCCCUACCUUUUUGAGGCUCAGGAUUGAGAUAUGAUUCAGUUUCGCGGAUGAAACUUUUUAUAGUGGGGAAGGAUGUAGUGUUUCUGAGCUUUGGAUAGGAUUGGCUUCAGUGUUAGUGACUGGUCGACAUAUCUGCAGAGUGUCCGACUGAGUCGGAGUCGUUUCUGCGCGAAAUGGAUGCAGAAAUGGA
rnacentral:lncRNA from 1 species